AGUGAACGCUGGCGGUAGGCCUAACACAUGCAAGUCGAACGAGUGGCGGACGGGUGAGGAAUACAUCGGAAUCUACUCUGUCGUGGGGGAUAACGUCGGGAAACUUACGCUAAUACCGCAUACGAUUGAAUGAGCCGAUGUGGGAUUAGCUAGUGGGGGGGGUAAAGGCUCACCAAGGCGACGAUCCGUAGCUGGUCUGAGAGGAUGAUCAGCCACACGGGAACGGAGACACGGUCCAGACUCCUACGGGAGGCAGCAGUGGGGAAUAUUGGACAAUGGGCGCAAGCCUGAUCCAGCCAUGCCGCGUGGGUGAAGAAGGCCUUCGGGUUGUAAAGUCCUUUUGUCGGGAAAGCGGUACCCGAAGAAUAAGCACCGGCUAACUUCGUGCCAGCAGCCGCGGUAAUUC
rnacentral:rRNA from 1 species